rnacentral:rRNA from 1 species
GACGAACGCUGGCGGCGUGCCUAAUACAUGCAAGUCGAGCGGAUCUUCAUUAGCUUGCUUUUGAAGAUCAGCGGCGGACGGGUGAGUAACACGUGGGCAACCUGCCUGUAAGACUGGGAUAACUUCGGGAAACCGGAGCUAAUACCGGAUAAUCCUUUUCCUCUCAUGAGGAAAAGCUGAAAGACGGUUUCGGCUGUCACUUACAGAUGGGCCCGCGGCGCAUUAGCUAGUUGGUGAGGGAACGGCUCACCAAGGCGACGAUGCGUAGCCGACCUGAGGGGGUGGUCGGCCACACUGGGACUGAGACACGGCCCAGACUCCUACGGGAGGCAGCAGUAGGGAAUCUUCCGCAAUGGACGAAAGUCUGACGGAGCAACGCCGCGUGAGCGAUGAAGGCCUUCGGGUCGUAAAGCUCUGUUGUCAGGGAAGAACAAGUAUCGGAGUAACUGCCGGUACCUUGACGGUACCUGACCAGAAAGCCACGGCUAACUACGUGCCAGCCGCCACCGUAAAAC